GCAUAUCAAUAAGCGGAGGAAAAGAAACCAACAGGGAUUCCCCUAGUAACGGCGAGUGAAGCGGGAACAGCUCAAAUUUGAAAUCUGGCCCUCGGGUCCGAAUUGUAAUUUGUAGAGGAUGCUUUUGGUUAGGUACUUUCCGAGUUCCCUGGAACGGGACGCCUUAGAGGGUGAGAGCCCCGUACGGUUGGAUACCGAGCCUCUGUAAAGCUCCUUCGACGAGUCGAGUAGUUUGGGAAUGCUGCUCUAAAUGGGAGGUAAAUUUCUUCUAAAGCUAAAUACUGGCCAGAGACCGAUAGCGCACAAGUAGAGUGAUCGAAAGAUGAAAAGCACUUUGAAAAGAGGGUUAAAUAGCACGUGAAAUUGUUGAAAGGGAAGCGUUUAUGACCAGACUUUUUCCAGGCGGAUCAUCCGGUGUUCUCACCGGUGCACUUCGUCUGGUUGAGGCCAGCAUCGGUUUUCGUGGUGGGAUAAAAGCAGUAGGAAUGUGACUCCUCCGGGAGUGUUAUAGCCUAUUGUAUAAUACCGCCAUGGGGACCGAGGUUCGCGCUCUGCAAG
rnacentral:rRNA from 1 species